rnacentral:rRNA from 1 species
AUGCGUCUUUUAUCGUUUUUGCGUCCUUUUUCAUAUCAUGGCCCUGUAUCUUCUCUUUUGGAGAUCCAUGAGCCUUUUGUUCUGGGCUGUUUCCUUUUCCUUUUUUUUUCCUCUUUUUAUUUUAUUUUGGGCCUCAUUCGUAUGUGCAGAUAUGAUCAGUCGGCAUACACCUGUGUGUUGCUGGCGCUUCAGUGUAAUAUUGUCCAUGUUAUGAUGAUUUACCUGUUCGCUGUUAUUACUCCUGCUUAUUUUGCAUUUUCUUUCACUGCCAGAUGUUCUGCCAAUGUGCUGGUAACGCCCUUACGGCGUAUAAGUCUCAUAUGGAACAAAUUAAUACACUGUUUUCAAAACAUAGUACGUGCACACACACAUACACUCGUAUUAUGGACACACACGCUCACCUGCACACCCUAUUUCUAA